AGUUGAACCCCGAUGCAGGCGAACAUGAACUGGAGGAGGGUGGUGACUAUCAUGAUGUUACCGAUAGUGCGGAUAGCAACAAACACACACUGGACGACAUGCUGGGAAAACAGAGAUUUUUACCUUUAGCCCCUUGGCUCGGUUAAUGGCUCUCAGUGGACGUAACACUCUCAGUACACGGAGAAUCUUUACCACCGAGAUGGCACUUGAGCUGCAGAGAUCAUUACAUAGAGUUAAGUAAAGCACGAACAUAAUAUAUCUACUAAAAAUCCUUUAAGAACAGAGGUCACAUUUUGCAGCAACGUGAAAACAUUCUGCAUUGGAUUUUUCCUAUGAAUUCCCUUAAAUAACGUCAUUCUUGCUAUUGUUCCCUUUACCAGCGGGGGAUAUUCCAAAAAUAAACUGCAAACCAUUGCCCUAAA